GCUGGGCGUGGUGGCUCACGCCUGUAAUCCCAGCACUUGGGGAGGCUGAGGCUGGUGGAUCACCUGAGGUCAGGAGUUCGAGACCAGCCUGGCCAACAUGGUGAAACCCUGUCUCUA
ensembl:misc_RNA Metazoa_SRP Metazoan signal recognition particle RNA